rnacentral:rRNA from 1 species
AACGAACGCUGGCGGCAGGCUUAACACAUGCAAGUCGAACGGGUGUAGCAAUACACCAGUGGCAGACGGGUGAGUAACACGUGGGAACCUUCCUAGGGGUACGGAACAACUCAGGGAAACUUGAGCUAAUACCGUAUACGCUCUUGCGAGGAAAGAUUUAUCGCCCCUAGACGGGCCCGCGUAGGAUUAGCUAGUUGGUGGGGUAACGGCCUACCAAGGCGACGAUCCUUAGCUGAUCUGAGAGGAUGAUCAGCCACACUGGGACUGAGACACGGCCCAGACUCCUACGGGAGGAAGCAGUGGGGAAUCUUGGACAAUGGGCGCAAGCCUGAUCCAGCCAUGCCGCGUGAGUGAAGAAGGCCUUAGGGUUGUAAAGCUCUUUUACCAGGGAAGAUAAUGACGGUACCUGGAGAAUAAGCCCCGGCAAACUUCGUGCCAGCCGCCGCCGUAA